rnacentral:lncRNA from 1 species
AAAUCCCUUUCUCACUACAGGAGGGAGGGUGGGAAUGUAGGUGAAGACAUUCAAGAGAAUCCUGUGAAGAGUAGGAGUGACAGCAAGAAAGGAAGGGUAUAUGAAUGGUUUUUUCCUUAACUAGACACUGAUGCAGAAGCACAAUAUGCAAUGCAGGGCAACAAAGAUGAGGCAGCAGAGUAACCUGGAUCCUCUGAGUUCUUUAAGACAGGGAUUCCUAGGGCAGAACAAACAUUAUAGAAUUUCUCAUUUCUGGGUUUUAAAACAUCCCAAGUGUACCUGGUCUCACCCAUCUCUAAAGUAAUGGGCGUAAGUAACAAGAAGCUCCAGAAUCGACAUCUGGCAGUGUGAGCUGAAGGUGGGGAGAAGAGGAGCAGAUUGAUGUGGUCAAGCCAAAGCUAUGUGGAAGUUCUUGGGUCCUAAAAUGAUGUCAUAAAGGCAUCUCACAAAAGUAUAAUUAUCUAAUUUAUUGCCCAAAACAUGACAAAUAGUAAACUGGAAGGAAUGCUGGAACAAUAGAUAAAAUCAUAAAUUACUGCAAUUAACCAGGACAUAUUUCCACAAUAUAAAGAAAACACAGCAUCUGAAUGCCUGUUACAGAGAGGAAGGACACCAGCAACCAGUCAUUUCACCUAGGGAGACCACAACUGUGAAUAAGAAGAGAUUAAACUUCAUCUGGUUAUGUAGAUGUGCAUCAUCUUAAAAGAAGGAAGCAGAUUUGUCAAAAGUGGACCUUCCUCCAUUCUAAUGUGCCUUGAACCACAAGUUUAGCCCACACUGAGGGAGGGGAAUAAGUUAUAAGAUUACCAAAUUAAUCAGUUAAAAUAUUAUAUUUUAUUUAUUUAUUAAAUAAAUAGCCAUGUUAUUUACUGGAAUGCAUUACAAUUCUUCUUACUCAUAUAGAGCACAUUUUUUCAUAUCUCUGGUUAUAUACAAAGUAUAUUCACAACAAUUUGUGUCUUCAUACAUGUACUUUGGAUAAUAAUGAUCAUCACAUUCCACCAUCAUUUAUAACCCCGUGCCCCCUCCCUUCCCCUCCAACCCCUCUCCCCUAUCUAGAGUUUGUCUAUUCCUCCCAUGCUCCUUAUUCCUAUCGCACUAUGAAUCAGUCUCCUUAUAUCAGAGAAAACAUUUGGCAUUUGUCUUUUGGGGAUUAGCUAACUUCACUUAGCAUUUUAAAACUUACCUGGCCUCUGAUUCAUGGACUAAAGUGACUUAAUAUUUCUCUUGAAGUGGAAAUGUAAUU